GUUCCGGCGAGUGUUUGUGUGUGUGUGUUAGUGCUCUUGGACAGAUCAAUGGAUAUGAAUGGAGGUGGAACUGGACUCCAGGAUGCAGUGCGUCGAGAUCCUGUCCAGUUCUAGGUAAAAUUGGAUGCUAUGGUCACUCGAAAAGCCAUUUGACCGGAAGUUCCAGCGAAUGAUUGUGUGUGUGUUGGUGCUUUUGGACAGAUCUCUGUAUAUGUAUGGAUAUGGAUUACUGGAUAUAUAUAUACAUGGAGAAGUCGUCAUUCAAGACUCCAGAGCGUCAUCGAAAAGUUCUUCAGGUUUCAACUUUUUCGAUUGUGUUCCUCAUGGUUUCUUUGGCUAAAUUGGCAGCACUGUUCCUGUCGACAUCGUCAUCGUCGAUCAAUGUUCAAUCCAGCUCAGUUGAGCCUGUAGCGCCGCAUCGCAUCGCAUCCCAUGCCC